AGUGAACGCUGGCGGUAGGCCUAACACAUGCAAGUCGAACGGCAGCACAGUAAGAGCUUGCUCUUACGGGUGGCGCGUGGCGGACGGGUGAGGAAUACAUCGGAAUCUACUUUUUCGUGGGGGAUAACGUAGGGAAACUUACGCUAAUACCGCAUACGACCUACGGGUGAAAGCAGGGGAUCUUCGGACCUUGCGCGAUUGAAUGAGCCGAUGUCGGAUUAGCUAGUUGGCGGGGUAAAGGCCCACCAAGGCGACGAUCCGUAGCUGGUCUGAGAGGAUGAUCAGCCACACUGGAACUGAGACACGGUCCAGACUCCUACGGGAGGCAGCAGUGGGGAAUAUUGGACAAUGGGCGCAAGCCUGAUCCAGCCAUACCGCGUGGGUGAAGAAGGCCUUCGGGUUGUAAAGCCCUGUUGUUGGGAAAGAAAAGCAGCAGGUUAAUACCCCGCUGUUCUGACGGUACCCAAAGAAUAAGCACCGGCUAACUUCGUG
rnacentral:rRNA from 1 species